CCGUUCCCAUCCCGAACACGGAAGUUAAGCUCUCCAGCGCCGAUGGUAGUUGGCGGGACACCGCCUGCGAGAGUAGGACGUUGCCGGGC
rnacentral:rRNA from 1 species